GGUUAAGCGACUAAGCGUACACGGUGGAUGCCCUGGCAGUCAGAGGCGAUGAAGGACGUGCUAAUCUGCGAUAAGCGUCGGUAAGGUGAUAUGAACCGUUAUAACCGGCGAUUUCCGAAUGGGGAAACCCAGUGUGAUUCGUCACACUAUCAUUAACUGAAUCCAUAGGUUAAUGAGGCGAACCGGGGGAACUGAAACAUCUAAGUACCCCGAGGAAAAGAAAUCAACCGAGAUUCCCCCAGUAGCGGCGAGCGAACGGGGAGGAGCCCAGAGCCUGAAUCAGUGUGUGUGUUAGUGGAAGCGUCUGGAAAGGCGCGCGAUACAGGGUGACAGCCCCGUACACAAAAAUGCACAUGCUGUGAGCUCGAUGAGUAGGGCGGGACACGUGGUAUCCUGUCUGAAUAUGGGGGGACCAUCCUCCAAGGCUAAAUACUCCUGACUGACCGAUAGUGAACCAGUACCGUGAGGGAAAGGCGAAAAGAACCCCGGCGAGGGGAGUGAAAAAGAACCUGAAACCGUGUACGUACAAGCAGUGGGAGCACAGAGCAAUCUGUGUGACUGCGUACCUUUUGUAUAAUGGGUCAGCGACUUAUAUUCUGUAGCAAGGUUAACCGAAUAGGGGAGCCGAAGGGAAACCGAGUCUUAACUGGGCGUUAAGUUGCAGGGUAUAGACCCGAAACCCGGUGAUCUAGCCAUGGGCAGGUUGAAGGUUGGGUAACACUAACUGGAGGACCGAACCGACUAAUGUUGAAAAAUUAGCGGAUGACUUGUGGCUGGGGGUGAAAGGCCAAUCAAACCGGGAGAUAGCUGGUUCUCCCCGAAAGCUAUUUAGGUAGCGCCUCGUGAAUUCAUCUCCGGGGGUAGAGCACUGUUUCGGCAAGGGGGUCAUCCCGACUUACCAACCCGAUGCAAACUGCGAAUACCGGAGAAUGUUAUCACGGGAGACACACGGCGGGUGCUAACGUCCGUCGUGAAGAGGGAAACAACCCAGACCGCCAGCUAAGGUCCCAAAGUCAUGGUUAAGUGGGAAACGAUGUGGGAAGGCCCAGACAGCCAGGAUGUUGGCUUAGAAGCAGCCAUCAUUUAAAGAAAGCGUAAUAGCUCACUGGUCGAGUCGGCCUGCGCGGAAGAUGUAACGGGGCUAAACCAUGCACCGAAGCUGCGGCAGCGACGCUGAUGCGUUGUUGGGUAGGGGAGCGUUCUGUAAGCCUGCGAAGGUGUGCUGUGAGGCAUGCUGGAGGUAUCAGAAGUGCGAAUGCUGACAUAAGUAACGAUAAAGCGGGUGAAAAGCCCGCUCGCCGGAAGACCAAGGGUUCCUGUCCAACGUUAAUCGGGGCAGGGUGAGUCGACCCCUAAGGCGAGGCCGAAAGGCGUAGUCGAUGGGAAACAGGUUAAUAUUCCUGUACUUGGUGUUACUGCGAAGGGGGGACGGAGAAGGCUAUGUUGGCCGGGCGACGGUUGUCCCGGUUUAAGCGUGUAGGCUGGUUUUCCAGGCAAAUCCGGAAAAUCAAGGCUGAGGCGUGAUGACGAGGCACUACGGUGCUGAAGCAACAAAUGCCCUGCUUCCAGGAAAAGCCUCUAAGCAUCAGGUAACAUCAAAUCGUACCCCAAACCGACACAGGUGGUCAGGUAGAGAAUACCAAGGCGCUUGAGAGAACUCGGGUGAAGGAACUAGGCAAAAUGGUGCCGUAACUUCGGGAGAAGGCACGCUGAUAUGUAGGUGAAGCGACUUGCUCGUGGAGCUGAAAUCAGUCGAAGAUACCAGCUGGCUGCAACUGUUUAUUAAAAACACAGCACUGUGCAAACACGAAAGUGGACGUAUACGGUGUGACGCCUGCCCGGUGCCGGAAGGUUAAUUGAUGGGGUUAGCGCAAGCGAAGCUCUUGAUCGAAGCCCCGGUAAACGGCGGCCGUAACUAUAACGGUCCUAAGGUAGCGAAAUUCCUUGUCGGGUAAGUUCCGACCUGCACGAAUGGCGUAAUGAUGGCCAGGCUGUCUCCACCCGAGACUCAGUGAAAUUGAACUCGCUGUGAAGAUGCAGUGUACCCGCGGCAAGACGGAAAGACCCCGUGAACCUUUACUAUAGCUUGACACUGAACAUUGAGCCUUGAUGUGUAGGAUAGGUGGGAGGCUUUGAAGUGUGGACGCCAGUCUGCAUGGAGCCGACCUUGAAAUACCACCCUUUAAUGUUUGAUGUUCUAACGUGGACCCGUAAUCCGGGUUGCGGACAGUGUCUGGUGGGUAGUUUGACUGGGGCGGUCUCCUCCUAAAGAGUAACGGAGGAGCACGAAGGUUGGCUAAUCCUGGUCGGACAUCAGGAGGUUAGUGCAAUGGCAUAAGCCAGCUUGACUGCGAGCGUGACGGCGCGAGCAGGUGCGAAAGCAGGUCAUAGUGAUCCGGUGGUUCUGAAUGGAAGGGCCAUCGCUCAACGGAUAAAAGGUACUCCGGGGAUAACAGGCUGAUACCGCCCAAGAGUUCAUAUCGACGGCGGUGUUUGGCACCUCGAUGUCGGCUCAUCACAUCCUGGGGCUGAAGUAGGUCCCAAGGGUAUGGCUGUUCGCCAUUUAAAGUGGUACGCGAGCUGGGUUUAGAACGUCGUGAGACAGUUCGGUCCCUAUCUGCCGUGGGCGCUGGAGAACUGAGGGGGGCUGCUCCUAGUACGAGAGGACCGGAGUGGACGCAUCACUGGUGUUCGGGUUGUCAUGCCAAUGGCACUGCCCGGUAGCUAAAUGCGGAAGAGAUAAGUGCUGAAAGCAUCUAAGCACGAAACUUGCCCCGAGAUGAGUUCUCCCUGACUCCUUGAGAGUCCUGAAGGAACGUUGAAGACGACGACGUUGAUAGGCCGGGUGUGUAAGCGCAGCGAUGCGUUGAGCUAACCGGUACUAAUGAACCGUGAGGCUUAACCUU
rnacentral:rRNA from 1 species